CUUUCCGAUACGGCAAUGUUGUGGUGGCGUAGAAAGCACGCCGAUAUCGAGAAAGGCAUUUGCCGAAUCGAUACUUGGGAAGAGUUCAAGAGGGAACUCAAGCGACACUUCUACCCGGAGAACGUCGUCUAUGAGGCUCGAAGGAAGUUGAGGGAACUCAAGCAACGAAGUUCAAUCCGCGAGUACGUGACGGAGUUCACCACCCUCACCCUUCAAAUUCCCAAUCUCUCCGAGGAGGACCUUCUUUUCCACUUCACCGAUGGGUUACAAGGCUGGGCCAAGCAAGAACUCCACCGACGAGACAUCAAAUCCGUCGAUGAAGCUAUUGCCGCCGCCGAGUCUUUAACCGAGUAUCAACCGAGAGAGCCGUUGCGAAAAGAGAAGUGGAGCCCGACUAAAGGCGGAGAAGAGAGACGGGACAAUCAUGGUCGGGACUACCGAGACAACCGAGACCCAAGGCGAGCGUCAACCUCGAGGGGAGGAGACAAGCCAUCCUCACGCCAUCAACUUGAAGAGAAGAAGAAGUCGUUUGUGCCUAAGGGAGGAUGCUUCGUGUGCAAGGGGCCGCACGCGAUGAGUCAAUGUCCCAAGAUGGGGUCGUUGUCGGCACUCUUACAACAAGAGGCCGAGCAAGACACAAACGAGGAGCUAGGCCACAUGGGAUCGCUCCAACUUCUGAACGCCUUAAAGGCAAAUCCGAUGCCGGCAACAUCAAGCAAGGGGCUGAUGUACGUGGAGGCCCGCAUCAACGGUACCCCAGCAAAGGUGAUGGUGGACACGGGAGCGACCCACAACUUCAUCACCGAAGACGAGGCCAAGAGGGUUGGCCUACGGUGGACUAGACGAGACGGUUGGCUCAAGGCCGCUAACGCUAAGGCACAACCGCUCAACGGUGUAGCACGAGACGCGGAGCUGCACUUAGCCACUUGGAAGGGCCAAGUGGAUUUCUCGGUAGCACCAAUGGAUGACUUCAAGGUGGUGCUAGGCAUGGAUUUCUUCCGCAAGGUAAUGGCUAUCCCGAUGCCUUGUUUUAAUUCACUUUGUAUCUUAGAGAAGGGGACACCUUGCAUGGUGCCGGCCAUCAACGGCACCACUAAGGAAGAAAUCACACAACCAAGACAACUGUCGGCCAUGCAAGUUGCCAAGGGAGUUCGACGGGGCGAGCCGACAUUAUUAGCGACUUCAAAGGAGGGAAGCCCGCCCGUCAACAAAGAGGAGGACGUGCCACCGAUCAUCCAAACCGUCUUGGAGGCCAGCCAAGACGUGAUGCCACCGAAUUUGCCCAACAAGCUUCCACCUAGGAGGGAGGUGGACCACGCCACCGAGUUGGUCGAGAUGGGGGAGAUCCGACCAUCGAAGGCAAGCGUUGUGGCCGACGCAUUGAGUAGAAAAGCCGAACCCGCAGCGAUUAGCUCGACAAGGGGGAACUUGGCCGACAUGAUCCGAGAAGGGCUCGAACAUGAUCCAAUGACCAAGGAGCUAAUUCGACUCGUCAAGGAGGGCAAGACGAGAAAAUUUUGGGUAGAGGACGGCUUACUCUACACGAAGGGGCAGCGACUCUUCGUUCCGAAGUGGGGCAGCUUGAGGAAGGACCUCAUAAAGGAAUGCCACGACACCAAGUGGGCGGGGCAUCCGGGCCAAAGGAGGACAAUGGCGUUGCUCGAGACGGCCUACUUUUGGCCUCACAUGCGGGACGGUGUCGAUGCAUGUGUGAAGACUUGUCUUGUUUGCCAACAAGACAAGGUGGAGAAUAAACAACCGGCAGGGCUGGAGCCUCAUCAAAUGAAUUACCCAAGUACGAGGCAACGUGGAAGACGAAUGAAGACUUGUGAAAAUUUCGAGAUCGUCUCCACUUGUUCGAGGCAACGAGGACGUCGCCGGAUUAGGCGGGGGAGGAUGUCACGGCCCGCUAGUUUUGACCCAACCCCUUGCCGAUUUCCCUUGGGUUGGGGAGGUUACAAAGAGUCCAAGUUGUAGCCCAAGUAGGGUUAGGCCCAAGUUGGCCCAAUUGUAUAGUGGUAGGUAGAGCUAUUUUUGGUAGGUAGGGUAGGUGGUGGUAGGUAGAGACAAUCAAGGGAUUGCUCCACUCCCAUCCGUUAGAUCAUAUCGAUCUCCACCGUCCAUUGAGGAGGUGGUCUUGUAUAAAUAGAGCAUUCGAGCAACACAUUCGGGAGAGGCUGACUUAGCUAUCGCGAGGGGCGAGAAGGAGCUAAGGCCGCACGGUUCUUUGUUGAGGGAACAAGUCCGUGACAGUAGGCUUGCU